UACGUAGGGUGCAAGCGUUGUCCGGAAUUAUUGGGCGUAAAGAGCUCGUAGGCGGUUCGGCAAGUCGGAUGUGAAAUCUCCACGCUUAACGUGGAGGGGCCAUUCGAAACUGCUGUGACUCGAGUCCGGUAGGGGAGUGUGGAAUUCCCGGUGUAGCGGUGAAAUGCGCAGAUAUCAGGAGGAACACCGGUGGCGAAGGCGGGACUCUGGGCCGAUACUGACGCUGAGGAGCGAAAGCGUGGGGAGCGAACAGG
rnacentral:rRNA from 1 species